CCGCCGGCGGCCGGCGCACGGGUGAGUAACACGUAUGCAACCUGGCCGUGACAGAUGGAUAACCGGGAGAAAUCCCGCCUAAUACAACAUAAUGCCGGGAGGGGACAUCCCCUGCCGGCCAAAGGGGGCGACCCCGGUCACGGAUGGGCAUGCGGCGCAUUAGGUAGUUGGUGGGGCAACGGCCCACCAAGCCGACGAUGCGUAGGGGUUCUGAGAGGAAGGUCCCCCACAUUGGAACUGAGACACGGUCCAAACUCCUACGGAAGGCAGCAG
rnacentral:rRNA from 1 species